AGGACACUCUUGGGGUAUCCAGAAUUGUAUACUACUAGUUAGAGGUUUAUCUACUAAUUUCCAUGCUGAAGUGGCGAGGAGCCCGAGACAAGCGCAUUAUGAGUUUGUUAUUACCGAAUAUAUAUCAGCUUGUAACGCGUAUUCAAUAGAUCUGUGAGGGCUAGUUCUCUGUAACCUGACAAAUGAGUCUAAAUCUUAAACAAACAAGUCUUAAGAAACAUCUUAAAUAUCCUCUAUAUCACAACUGUAUUGCACCUGCUUGGAGCGCAUACUCAAUAGAUUUGUGAGGGCUAGUUCUCUGUGAGGAUAUUUGAUGUAUUCACUAGUUAUGUUUGAUCUUGAGAAAUGUCUUUCUUUAGUUGUUUGAA